AAUACGAAGGGGGCUAGCGUUGCUCGGAAUCACUGGGCGUAAAGCGCACGUAGGCGGAUUGCUAAGUCAGGGGUGAAAUCCUGGAGCUCAACUCCAGAACUGCCCUUGAUACUGGCGAUCUCGAGUCCGGGAGAGGUGAGUGGAACUGCGAGUGUAGAGGUGAAAUUCGUAGAUAUUCGCAAGAACACCAGUGGCGAAGGCGGCUCACUGGCCCGGUACUGACGCUGAGGUGCGAAAGCGUGGGGAGCAAACAGGA
rnacentral:rRNA from 1 species